AGAAAUUAAAGCGUAAAAUAAUGUACAACUGAAGACUACAGAAGAUUUUAGGACUUGUUUUGAUGCAUACUAACAUAAAUAGCAACAAAUUGAAGAUUACUUUCAUGUAGUUCUCUAAAAAUAAACAUGUUAGCCUGAUAGCAUGCAGCUUGUUUAAGCUAACAUGGUGGGCUAACACUUCCUGGUUGUAGCUCAGGACAAAGAACGACAUGAUAACAAGGACUCUGAGGAGAAGUGAUGUGGUUGGAGUGUUUCUUGCUCCAUCUUUGUACCACUGGACAACACCGUCGGCCCUUGACACUUCACAGGACAAAAAAACGUUUGGGAGUAUCACCUUUCACCUCUUUACA